rnacentral:rRNA from 1 species
UACCAGCACCCCGAGUGGUCGGGACGUUUUAUUGGGCCUAAAGCAUCCGUAGCCGGUUCUACAAGUCUUCCGUUAAAUCCACCUGCUUAACAGAUGGGCUGCGGAAGAUACUAUGGAGCUAGGAGGCGGGAGAGGCAAGCGGUACUCGAUGGGUAGGGGUAAAAUCCGUUGAUCCAUUGAAGACCACCAGUGGCGAAGGCGGCUUGCCAGAACGCGCUCGACGGUGAGGGAUGAAAGCUGGGGGAGCCAAACCGG